rnacentral:rRNA from 1 species
UACGUAGGGUGCAAGCGUUGUCCGGAAUUAUUGGGCGUAAAGAGCUCGUAGGCGGUUUGUCGCGUCUGCUGUGAAAACCCGAGGCUCAACCUCGGGCCUGCAGUGGGUACGGGCAGACUAGAGUGCGGUAGAGGAGAUUGGAAUUCCUGGUGUAGCGGUGGAAUGCGCAGAUAUCAGGAGGAACACCGGUGGCGAAGGCGGGUCUCUGGGCAGUAACUGACGCUGAGGAGCGAAAGCGUGGGGAGCGAACAGG